CAGUAGCCGCGGGAAUACAGAGGGUGCGAGCGUUAAUCGGAUUUACUGGGCGUAAAGCGUGCGUAGGCGGCUUCUUAAGUCGGAUGUGAAAUCCCUGAGCUUAACUUAGGAAUUGCAUUCGAUACUGGGAAGCUAGAGUAUGGGAGAGGAUGGUAGAAUUCCAGGUGUAGCGGUGAAAUGCGUAGAGAUCUGGAGGAAUACCGAUGGCGAAGGCAGCCAUCUGGCCUAAUACUGACGCUGAGGUACGAAAGCAUGGGGAGCAAACAGGAUUAGAUACCCCAGUAGUCCCUGUCUUUAUACA
rnacentral:rRNA from 1 species